UAGAAUGUUACAUUAGAGGCAUCCUCAACCUGAAGGAUAAUGCUGGCCGUCUAUACCUCCUGGAUCACUACACCAUGGGUGUAAUCCUACACGUCACACGAGAGCAGAUGGCCAGGCAAGAGCUAAAAAAGGUCACAUUUGAUCUAUAUGAUGGAGCCAUUGGAUUUGUCAAUAUAAGAAAUGUGCACUGGAAGUUUGUGAGAGUAUUUCAAGAUGCGCCGGAACAGACUGGGAAAAGAGGACUGGGUUAACAUUAAAUGGCAGCCAGGAAAGAUAACCCACACCUUCCAGAAAGAUGCCACCAGUUGUGGAGCCUUUGUCAUGCAGAUGGCCAAGAUGACAGUGAAGGAAUUUCCGAAAAUACCACAGACGUUUCACAUCAACUCAUCAAAAC